AGCAGCAAAAUAUGCUUGCACAAUAAUUCAGUUUCUGAAAAGUGGUUAACUUCCCAGAAUACUUGUGCAUAGGCAGAGCAAUGAACAAUUCCAUUACAUGAGGUGGUUGGCUGGUUGUGAGUGUAAAUUAGAAAGGUGGUAAGAGAAGCAAAGAUGUAUCAAAUUGGCAAAUUUUAUCAGAUAUUGUUAAGCUAACACAUCUGCUCGUCCCUACCUGAUAAUGCUGGUUCUGGCCGUUGAUGGUCUUUAUCUUUCUUGUUGAAGUCAACCAAAUAUUUCUGGUUCAGUGCACAAUCAAGAUGUACCUCCUUGCUCUCCUGCUUCAGUGGGACCAACUUCUUCCUACAUGUGUUCUCCAUCAGGAGCUGGCUGAGCAGGUUUCUGGAAAUACAGUCUGCAUAAGCCUUCUGAAGAUGCCUAGACAAUCCUGGGAUGAGGAACAGUCUUUUAUGGAACUGAAAACUGAGUCCUAAUGACCCUGGAACACUGAUGGGUAAAUAGCACAAGAGAUAGAACCAGAGCUGAAGACCGUCCAAUCCAGAACAAAGAAAGUCAGAAAUGGCCAUUCCACAAGUGAUAGCCUUUCUGACCAGGACUUACCUAGAGAAGGUAAUCUCCUUCUUCAGCUUAUGGUUGUUCUCAUGGACCUCAGUGUUCUCCAUCUCUAAGUUGUGCAGAAUUGACAUGACCGCCUCCUCCAUUCUCUCCAGGUCUUCAUAAUAUGGAUUUGGCCUGAUGUGUGGCCUGGCCCCAAAUGAUAGAAUACAA
rnacentral:lncRNA from 1 species